GAGUCAGUGAUGACUUGUGCAAAUGCCGUUGCUUGUGUUUAAGCAAGGAGCCACCAGAGAGGCAGAACCAUGCUCAGAAGGUCUAUGAGACAGCUCAAGAAGGAAGGACGGGCCACUCAGGGACUCCUCAGAAGUUGCUCUGAGAAUGUUUGACAGACAGGAUCAAGAGAUUGCCUGCAAAGGCUAAGGGAUUUCCUAAGUAGAAACUCUUCCAUAAUACAAACAGCAACUAUUAAGUAUAAAGCAAAUUUAGUCUGAAAAAUUCA